rnacentral:rRNA from 1 species
CCUACGGGAGGCAGCAGUGGGGAAUAUUGCACAAUGGGCGCAAGCCUGAUGCAGCCAUGCCGCGUGUAUGAAGAAGGCCUUCGGGUUGUAAAGUACUUUCAGCGGGGAGGAAGGGAGUAAAGUUAAUACCUUUGCUCAUUGACGUUACCCGCAGAAGAAGCACCGGCUAACUCUGUG